UCAGCCUCUAUGGUAGGAGCCGGCGCCUGUGCCGCCAUCUUUCUUUUGGGCAACGUGAAACUAGAACGCACGUAAAAGAGAAAUCAACUCACACAAUUAUGGAGAGACUGAAAAGUCCCAUAAUCUGCAGUCUGCAAGUUGGACACCCUGCAAAGCCAGUGGUAUAAUUCACUUUGAGUCUGAAGACCCAAGAAAAGGUGUUUGCUGAUUGUGUAAAUCCCAUUCCAAGCACAGAGGAAGACUAAUGUCCCAGCUCACAGUCAGAGAAAGCCCUGUCUAUGGAAUUUACUUAUCUACAAAGUAGAAGAAUUAAAGAAGACUUUAAUGUUGCUGUGUCUUGUGACUAAGAAGUUGUCAAAAAU